ACGAACGCUGGCGGCGUGGAUAAGACAUGCAAGUCGAACGAGAGAAUUGCUAGCUUGCUAAUAAUUCUCUAGUGGCGCACGGGUGAGUAACACGUGAGUAACCUGCCCCCGAGAGCGGGAUAGCCCUGGGAAACUGGGAUUAAUACCGCAUAGUAUCGAAAGAUUAAAGCAGCAAUGCGCUUGGGGAUGGGCUCGCGGCCUAUUAGUUAGUUGGUGAGGUAACGGCUCACCAAGGCGAUGACGGGUAGCCGGUCUGAGAGGAUGUCCGGCCACACUGGAACUGAGACACGGUCCAGACACCUACGGGUGGCAGCAGUCGAGAAUCAUUCACAAUGGGGGAAACCCUGAUGGUGCGACGCCGCGUGGGGGAAUGAAGGUCUUCGGAUUGUAAACCCCUGUCAUGUGGGAGCAAAUUAAAAAGAUAGUACCACAAGAGGAAGAGACGGCUAACUCUGUGCCAGCAGCCGCGGUAAUACAGAGGUCUCAAGCGUUGUUCGGAAUCACUGGGCGUAAAGCGUGCGUAGGCUGUUUCGUAAGUCGUGUGUGAAAGGCGCGGGCUCAACCCGCGGACGGCACAUGAUACUGCGAGACUAGAGUAAUGGAGGGGGAACCGGAAUUCUCGGUGUAGCAGUGAAAUGCGUAGAUAUCGAGAGGAACACUCGUGGCGAAGGCGGGUUCCUGGACAUUAACUGACGCUGAGGCACGAAGGCCAGGGGAGCGAAAGGGAUUAGAUACCCCUGUAGUCCUGGCAGUAAACGGUGCACGCUUGGUGUGCGGGGAAUCGACCCCCUGCGUGCCGGAGCUAACGCGUUAAGCGUGCCGCCUGGGGAGUACGGUCGCAAGAUUAAAACUCAAAGAAAUUGACGGGGACCCGCACAAGCGGUGGAGUAUGUGGCUUAAUUCGAUGCAACGCGAAGAACCUUACCUGGGCUUGACAUGUAAUGAACAACAUGUGAAAGCAUGCGACUCUUCGGAGGCGUUACCCAGGUGCUGCAUGGCCGUCGUCAGCUCGUGUCGUGAGAUGUUUGGUUAAGUCCAGCAACGAGCGCAACCCCUGUUGCCAGUUACCAGGACGUGAAGGUGGGGACUCUGGCGAGACUGCCCAGAUCAACUGGGAGGAAGGUGGGGACGACGUCAGGUCAGUAUGGCCCUUAUGCCCAGGGCUGCACACGUACUACAAUGCCCAGUACAGAGGGGGCCGAAGCCGCGAGGCGGAGGAAAUCCUGAAAACUGGGCCCAGUUCGGACUGUAGGCUGCAACCCGCCUACACGAAGCCGGAAUCGCUAGUAAUGGCGCAUCAGCUACGGCGCCGUGAAUACGUUCCCGGGUCUUGUACACACCGCCCGUCACAUCAUGGAAGCCGGUCGCACCCGAAGUAUCUGAAGCCAACCGCAAGGAGGCAGGGUCCUAAGGUGAGACUGGUAACUGGGAUG
rnacentral:rRNA from 1 species